CGAGAUCCUAAUAAGGAAAACAAGAGCAAAGAGAAAGAAUAUGGCAGACAGUGGGAGGGUCGUCACAAUAGCCAAGACCAAAAAACGAUGUAUGUGCAACGUUGAAAGUUUGCUGGGAAUAAAUUAUGUUCAAAACCUUUAACAUUGAAUUGAAGAACCCCCAAAAACGUGUAGCCUCGGGAACAUUUACUGUUUACUGGGUUGGUACAAACUGAUGCAGUAAACAAAUAACCAAAAAUAUUUGAGUCAGAGUUAGUUCUUAAAGUCCAUCUUUAAUUAUAUGAGCUCUAUCACAACCCUGUGACUCUCAGAGAAUUCAGUGUCUAUCAAUGAAUUCUCUGAGAGCCCCUUUACACAUUGCAACUGAGAUCCUUUAAUAGCAAAGAACACACAUAGUCAGACAGCAUAGACAUAAUAAAUUGUUCAGCUUUGUCUCCUUACUCAAACCCUAGAACCAUAAACCAAUCCUCCAUAUCAACAGGCAUAUAUCAAAUUGUCAUUUAGAUACAACCAAUUCUAAAUACAACCAAUCCUGGACAAACACGGAGAGCAUAGAAUGAUUCCAGACACUGCCAUCCUCCUCUCCCCGAUGGGAAAAGUAGGGAGUGACGGGCACACAGACACAGUGGAGCAAAAGAUUUACACAUGAUGACACCUUGACCUCUCCCCUCUCUGCGGCCCAAGCAACUUAGUCUUGACAUAGAACAGAUACUGCAACCCUGCCAUAGUAUUAUACAAAAAUAACAUUAUUGAUGAGAAGUAACUUACAUUUACAUUUACAUUUAAGUCAUUUAGCAGACGCUCUUAUCCAGAGCGACUUACAAAUUGGUGCAUACACCUUAUGACAUCCAGUGGAACAGCCACUUUACAAUAGUGCAUCUAAAAUAUGAUGAAUAUAAAACAUCUUACCUAUGUUACCAACCAAUUCUGAUUAUUCCCCAACACUAAACAUAGUUGUACCAUGGGUGGGGAACUUACUAUCCACUGUUCCACAGCAACAGUUGCUGAUCUUUGAUCACAACUCUCCUGUACCUUUUUCAGGUCUGCAGCCAGGCGUUUCACGUCAGCCUCCAGGGAGGUAGUUAAGUCGGAGACACUAGCAGGGGUCUCCAGUGCUGCAAUCGUCGUAGUGUGCACCUCUUGAUGUUGUGUUGAGUGAUGUGAUUAUUGGCACCGUCUCGUUCCGCAGGAUGGUUAGAUCUGCUUUUAAAGUAUCAGAAACCUCCUGUAUUCAGGCCUCAAUCGUAGCAACUUCCUCCGUUUUCAUUUUAACUAUCUCAGAGCAUAGUAGUUUGAUGGACUCGAGAAUGUUCAUUUCAGCGCCGCCAGGCCAGGCCGCACCCCCGGGUAAAGUGUGAGUCUCUGGGCCCUCAGACUCAGGAGAGGGCGGUGAUAAGAGUAGAUCUUGUAGGCCGGGUUUUCUCUAAGUCGUGUUUUUGGCCGUGCUGAUAUUCGAAAGCAAAGUGUUCUUGGUUUUUUAUUUUUAUUUUACCUUUAUUUAACUAGGCAAGUCAGUUAAGAACAAAUUCUUAUUUUCAAUGACGGCCUAGAAACAGUGGGUUAACUGCCUGUUCAGGGGCAGAACGACAAAUGUGUACCUCCUCAGCUCGGGGGUUUGAACUUGCAACCUUCCGGUUACUAGUCCAAUGCUCUAACCACCUUUUACGGAAAGGGAUCACCAAACUAAUAUUGAAAAUAAAUACGGUUUUGCUGCAAAAUUCACAUAAACUUUAGGAAUAUUGUGGGAGCAAACGGAAAACACGUCAGUCGCACGUUGUGCCCCUAGCGGCCCCAAGUUUUUUUUAUUUUGACAAAGAUGCAUGAUUUAUAUGAAGGUUUGACUUAAACAUACACCUCAAUUUAGUAUUCAGCCCCCAAAGGAAUGUCCCAACUAUGUAGUAUUACUAAUAGUAUUCAGCCCCAAAGGAAUGUCCCAACUAUGUAGUAUUACUAAUAGUAUUGCAAGUACCAUCAUGCAGCCUUGGUAUUGUCCAGAGAGAACAAGGUAAUGGACACUCAGUGUUCUAGAGUUGUUGUCCAGAGAGACCAAGGUAAUGGACACUCAGUGUUCUAGAGUUGGUGUCCAGAGAGACCAAGGUAAUGGACACUCAGUGUUCUAGAGUUGUUGUCCAGAGAGACCAAGGUAAUGGACACUCAGUGUUCUAGAGUUGUUGUCCAGAGAGACCAAGGUAAUGGACACUCAGUGUUCUAGAGUUGUUGUCCAGAGAGACCAAGGUAAUGGGCAUUGUGUUCUAGAGUUGUUGUCCAGAGAGACCAAGGUAAUGGACAUUGUGUUCUAGAGUUGUUGUCCAGAGAGACCAAGGUAAUGGACACUCAGUGUUCUAGAGUUGUUGUCCAGAGAGAACAAGGUAAUGGACACUCAGUGUUCUAGAGUUGGUGUCCAGAGAGACCAAGGUAAUGGACACUCAGUGUUCUGGAGUUGUUGUCCAGAGAGACCAAGGUAAUGGACACUCAGUGUUCUAGAGUUGUUGUCCAGAGAGAACAAUGUAAUGGACACUCAGUGUUCUAGAGUUGUUGUCCAGAGAGACCAAGGUAAUGGACAUUGUGUUCUAGAGUUGGUGUCCAGAGAGACCAAGGUAAUGGACACUCAGUGUUCUAGAGUUGUUGUCCAGAGAGACCAAGGUAAUGGACACUCAGUGUUCUAGAGUUGUUGUCCAGAGAGAACAAUGUAAUGGACACUCAGUGUUCUAGAGUUGUUGUCCAGAGAGACCAAGGUAAUGGACAUUGUGUUCUAGAGUUGUUGUCCAGAGAGACCAAGGUAAUGGACACUCAGUGUUAUAGAGUUGUUGUCCAGAGAGACCAAGGUAAUGGACACUCAGUGCUCUAGAGUUGUUGUCUGGAGAGACCAGGGAAAUAGACACUCAGUGCUCUAGAGUUGUUGUCUGGAGAGAACAAGGUAAUGGACACUCAGUGCUCUAGAGUUGUUGUCCAGAGAGAACAAGGUAAUGGACACUCAGUGCUCUAGAGUUGUUGUCUGGAGAGAACAAGGUAAUGGACACUCAGUGCUCUAGAGUUGUUGUCUGGAGAGAACAAGGUAAUGGACACUCAGUGCUCUAGAGUUGUUGUCUGGAGAGACCAAGGUAAUGGACACUCAGUGCUCUAGAGUUGUUGUCUGGAGAGAACA